rnacentral:rRNA from 1 species
AUGAACGCUGGCGGCGUGCCUAAUACAUGCAAGUCGAGCGAACGGACGAGAAGCUUGCUUCUCUGAUGUUAGCGGCGGACGGGUGAGUAACACGUGGAUAACCUACCUAUAAGACUGGGAUAACUUCGGGAAACCGGAGCUAAUACCGGAUGAUAUUUUGAACCGCAUGGUUCAAAAGUGAAAGACGGUCUUGCUGUCACUUAUAGAUGGAUCCGCGCUGCAUUAGCUAGUUGGUAAGGUAACGGCUUACCAAGGCAACGAUGCAUAGCCGACCUGAGAGGGUGAUCGGCCACACUGGAACUGAGACUCGGUCCAGACUCCUACGGGAGGCAGCAGUAGGGAAUCUUCCGCAAUGGGCGAAAGCCUGACGGAGCAACGCCGCGUGAGUGAUGAAGGUCUUCGGAUCGUAAAACUCUGUUAUUAGGGAAGAACAUAUGUGUAAGUAACUGUGCACAUCUUGACGGUACCUAAUCAGAAAGCCACGGCUAACUACGUG